rnacentral:rRNA from 1 species
CGUGUAGGCGGUUUGCAAGUCAGAUGUGAAAUUCCCAGGCUUAACCUGGGCGCUGCAUCUGAAACUGCAAGACUUGAGUACUGGAGAGGAUAGUGGAAUUCCUAGUGUAGCGGUAAAAUGCGCAGAUAUUAGGAGGAACACCGGUGGCGAAGGCGACUAUCUGGACAGUAACUGACGCUGAGGCGCGAAAGCGUGGGGAGCAAACAG